rnacentral:rRNA from 1 species
GUGAGGAAUAUUGGUCAAUGGGCGGGAGCCUGAACCAGCCAAGUCGCGUGAAGGAAGAAGGAUCUAUGGUUCGUAAACUUCUUUUGCAGGGGAAUAAAGUGCAGGACGUGUCCUGUUUUGUAUGUACCCUGAGAAUAAGGAUCGGCUAACUCCGUGCCAGCAGCCGCGGUAAUACGGAUGAUCCGAGCGUUAUCCGGAUUUAUUGGGUUUAAAGGGUGCGUAGGUGGUUUGAUAAGUCAGCGGUGAAAGUUUGCAGCUUAACUGUAAAAAUGCCGUUGAAACUGUCGGACUUGAGUGUAAAUGAGGUAGGCGGAAUGCGUGGUGUAGCGGUGAAAUGCAUAGAUAUCACGCAGAACUCCGAUUGCGAAGGCAGCUUACUAAGCUACAACUGACACUGAAGCACGAAAGCGUGGGGAUCAAACAGGAUUAGAAACCCGUGUAGUCC